rnacentral:misc_RNA from 1 species
UCCGGUUCAUCACCGGCAGUCUCCUUAGAGUCCCCAACUUUACUUGCUGGCAACUAAGGACAAGGGUUGCGCUCGUUACGGGACUUAACCCAACAUCUCACAACACGAGCUGACGACAGCCAUGCAGCACCUGUCUCUGCGCUCCUUUCGGCACCCCAACCUCUCAGUCGGGUUCGCAGGAUGUCAAGGGUAGGUAAGGUUCUUCGCGUUGCAUCGAAUUAAACCACAUGCUCCACCGCUUGUGCGGGCCCCCGUCAAUUCAUUUGAGUUUCAACCUUGCGGCCGUACUUCCCAGGCGGAAGACUUAUCGCGUUAGCUUCGAUACUGAUUGGUUCCCCAACCAACAUCUAGUCCUCAUCGUUUACAGCGUGGACUAC